GAUGAACGCUAGCGAUAGGCUUAACACAUGCAAGUCGAGGGGCAGCAUUAUUUUAGCUUGCUAAGAUAGAUGGCGACCGGCGCACGGGUGCGUAACGCGUAUGCAACCUGCCUGUAAUUAGGGAAUAACCCGGUGAAAGUCGGACUAAUACCCUAUAUUCUUCUUUCUCCGCAUGGGGGAGGACGGAAAGAUUUAUUGAUUACAGAUGGGCAUGCGUCCCAUUAGCUGGUUGGUAAGGUAACGGCUUACCAAGGCAACGAUGGGUAGGGGGACUGAGAGGUUGACCCCCCACACUGGUACUGAGACACGGACCAGACUCCUACGGGAGGCAGCAGUGAGGAAUAUUGGUCAAUGGGCGAGAGCCUGAACCAGCCAAGUCGCGUGAAGGACGACGGUUCUAUGGAUUGUAAACUUCUUUUGUAGAGGAAUAAUGGCAGCUACGUGUAGCUGAGAUGCAUUA
rnacentral:rRNA from 1 species